rnacentral:rRNA from 1 species
AUGAACGCUGGCGGCGUGCCUAAUACAUGCAAGUCGAGCGAACAGACGAGGAGCUUGCUCCUCUGACGUUAGCGGCGGACGGGUGAGUAACACGUGGAUAACCUACCUAUAAGACUGGGAUAACUUCGGGAAACCGGAGCUAAUACCGGAUAACAUGUUGAACCGCAUGGUUCAACAGUGAAAGACGGUCUUGCUGUCACUUAUAGAUGGAUCCGCGCCGCAUUAGCUAGUUGGUAAGGUAACGGCUUACCAAGGCAACGAUGCGUAGCCGACCUGAGAGGGUGAUCGGCCACACUGGAGCUGAGACACGGUCCAGACUCCUACGGGAGGCAGCAGUAGGGAAUCUUCCGCAAAGGGCGAAAGCCUGACGGAGCAACGCCGCGUGAGUGAAGAAGGUCUUCGGAUCGUAAAACUCUGUUAUUAGGGAAGAACAAAUGUGUAAGUAACUAUGCACGUCUUGACGGUACCUAAUCAGAAAGCCACGGCUAACUACGUG